UGGGGAAUUUUCCGCAAUGGGGGCAACCCUGACGGAGCAACGCCGCGUGGGGGAGGAAUGUCUGUGGAUUGUAAACCCCUUUUCUCUGGGAAGAAGGUCUGACGGUACCAGAGGAAUCAGCAUCGCCUAACUCCGUGCCAGCAGCCGCGGUAAGACGGAGGAUGCAAGCGUUAUCCGGAAUUAUUGGGCGUAAAGCGUCCGUAGGCGGUUUAUCAAGUCAGUUGUUAAAGACUGCAGCUCAACUGUGGGCGAGCAACUGAAACUGAUGAACUAGAGUGCGGUAGGGGUAGAGGGAAUUCCCAGUGUAGCGGUGAAAUGCGUAGAUAUUGGGAAGAACACCAGUGGCGAAGGCGCUCUACUGGGCCGCAACUGACGCUGAGGGACGAAAGCUAGGGGAGCGAAAGGGAUUAGAUACCCCCGUAGUCC
rnacentral:rRNA from 1 species